GUGCUGAAUUCUGCAGCACACAUACUAAAACUGGAACAGGAUGGAGAUCAGCACGGUCUUUGUGCAAGAACAACACAUAGAUUCAUAAUGAAUUCCAUAUAUUU
rnacentral:snRNA from 1 species